rnacentral:rRNA from 1 species
CCUACGGGGGCUACAGUGGGGAAUAUUGGACAAUGGGCGAAAGCCUGAUCCAGCCAUGCCGCGUGUGUGAAGAAGGCCUUCGGGUUGUAAAGCACUUCCAGUGGGGAAGAAAGCCUUGGGGCUAAUACCCUCGAGGAAGGACAUCACCCACAGAAGAAGCACCGGCUAACUCCGUGCCAGCAGCCGCGGUAAUACGGAGGGUGCGAGCGUUAAUCGGAAUUACUGGGCGUAAAGCGCGCGUAGGCGGUCUGAUAAGCCGGUUGUGAAAGCCCCGGGCUCAACCUGGGAACGGCAUCCGGAACUGUCAGGCUAGAGUGCAGGAGAGGAAGGUAGAAUUCCCGGUGUAGCGGUGAAAUGCGUAGAGAUCGGGAGGAAUACCAGUGGCGAAGGCGGCCUUCUGGACUGACACUGACGCUGAGGUGCGAAAGCGUGGGUAGCAAACAGGAUUAGAUACCCCUGUAGUC